UUUAAUAAUACAGCUAGAACUAAUUUUUAUGUAUAGACUAAAGAGAUACUUAUAACGUAAUAAAAAAUAGAAGUUUGAACCGAUUGGAAUGUGCGCGCGCCGCUGUGACGAUUCGACUUCAAUACAACAUGGCAAAAGUUCCGUGGCAUCGCGACGCUGCACCUGUGCGGCGUCGUCAGUCCGAAAGUGCUUGUUGCUGUGAAUUCACGUUGUACGUGGACGUCGCUUAGAAUUUUUCUUGAUUCAAAUUAUGUGUAGUGGAUAAUCAUGUUUUUUUCUUCUCCAAUGUAAGAUUGUAAGAUAAAAACGUGCUGAAUUGUAAAUAUGUCCGAGUCCGUCAAAGUGGCGAUAAGAUGUCGACCUAUGUCCAACAAGGAGCUGCAGCAAGGAUGUCGGAACGUUGUAACGGUCGAUUCGCUGACAAAAUGCUGCACGCUGGAAAAUUCCGCCAGUGGAACUGGAAAAGUCUACCAAUUUGACGCCGCAUUCAGCCCAUCCGCUACAACAGAAUCGGUUUAUGAAAAUGUGGGGUCGGUCAUCGUCGAAGCUGUCUUGGAAGGUUACAAUGGCACUGUAUUUGCUUAUGGACAAACCGGCUGUGGAAAAUCGUUCACUAUGCGAGGAUUUAUCGAACGAACAUUGGAACAUCUAUUUGAAGCGACUUCUACUGCCAGUUCCGAGACAAGGUACUUAGCAUUGUUGAGUUACCUCGAAAUUUACAACGAACGAUUGCGAGAUCUGCUACAAGACGACACUGGCGAGACUUUAACUUUGAAGGAGGAUCCCUCGAGAGGUACCUAUGUUGCCGGGGGUUUGCGCGAGGUCACCGUAAAAGAUGCGGCCGAAUGCACCGUCCUAGUCCAUCAAGGCGAUCAAAGGAGAGCCGCAGCCGCGACAAAAAUGAAUGCUGCUAGUUCAAGAAGUCACGCUGUUUUAACUUUAUCACUUGAAGCGAUCGCCAUCAACGAUGAUGAUAAACGCGGCAACGCUAUCAGGAGAGGUCGACUGCACUUGGUUGAUCUGGCGGGAUCGGAGAGGCAAACUAGAACUGGAGCUACGGGUGAUCGUUUGAAAGAAGCUGCGAGUAUCAAUCUGAGUUUAUCGGCGUUGGGGAAUGUGAUCAGUGCAUUAGCUGCUGGAAAUGGAAGACAUGUCCCUUACAGGGAUAGCAAAUUAACGAGAUUGUUACGAGACAGUCUGGGUGGGAAUGCCAGGACACUGAUGAUUGCGUGCGUGAGUCCGAGCGAUAUCGAUGCUGAGGAAACCCUCAGCACUCUACGCUACGCCGCCAGAGCUCGUUGCAUUAAGAACAAGCCCAUCGUAAAUGAAGAUCCCAAAGAUGCUCUUCUUAGACAGUACCAAUUGGAACUUCAACGUUUGAAAAAGUUACUCGAUUCGAGCGAUCAACCAAACGGAUUGGAUUUCCAGAAAGAUUUAGAUGAAGAGGGCGAGGCUUUGAGAGAGAAACAAUACGCCGAAGAGGUGGAGAAGCUGAGAAAAGAAUGCGAGAGCUCAAAUUUGUCGGCGCAGAUGCUAAAAGAGGAAUUAGAAGCCCUCAAAUCUCGCUACGAAUCAGGAUUAAAUGUAACAGACAACGUUGAUAGAACGGGAAAUAUCAAUCAAGAAAAUCAGGAGAUGGGUGUAUUGGAUAAAGAACGAGCCGAAAGAAGAAGGAAGAAGAGAGAGGUCGCUUUGCAAGACGUUUUAAGAAGAUUAGAGAAAUUGACGAUCGGUGGAGAAGAGAUUGGCAAUACAGAGCUGAAGAAGAGGAGGGAAAAAAGGAGGAAGAAGCUAGAAGUUCUUGUAGGGGCAUUGGAAGCCAAUGACGCCAACGGUAGUGUCUUCCAAGUGUAUGGUCAACUGAAAUCGACAGAGGAUGCUUUAAAGAAAAUGGCAAAGAAGGUGAAGCAAUUGGAAGCCGAGGCAGCGGAUCUGCAAGCAUCCUGGGAUGCCGAGCGUCGCGAGCUUCUUCGAAGAGAAUUAUUAACAUCCCAAUUAUGUGAUCUCAUGGUGCCCUAUCUUCGUCCGGGCUGUCCCUUUCGAGAUAUCGCGGCGAUGAGAACUGCGGCAACUUGGUGCGAUGAGUUAGGACGGUGGCGAUUGCCAGACGUAUCUCCUCACAUUCCUCUACCUCCUGCCGCUCCUGUGGCGCGAGGGGACAUUCUUUACACUGCCGGAAUUUCCUCUAAGGCAGAUCUCAAUAAUAAUAGUAAUAACGGUGGCAGCAAUGACGAAGACGAUAGUAGUCAGAGCAAUGAAGAGGAUGACAGUAAAGGUGUGAAGAAUAAAAAAGGUUGGGAUAUUGUGGACGCUUAUUUCCGGAGAAGCAGAGCGAACACCCUUCUGGCACACGCAAGAGAGGCAAAAACUUUUGAGCCGGGAAAUCGAUUGAGUAGAUCCGGCGGUUCAGAAGACUCGAUGCCGAUUGCAGGUGGUAGCGGUUACAUGCAAUUGAACGCGCUGAAUCUACAAAGUAGCGCACCGAUGCUCGGCGACAGCAACUACAGUCCAAAUCCUCACAGAUUGGCAAUACGCGGAGGUUGGGUUCACGAUGAGCAACCCAAUCGCUUCACCUACAACGCCUUCGUCAAUACCAUGAAGAAGCCUCCUCCAAGGAUACUGGAAGCCCUGCCUUCGUAUCCUCAUGACGACGCUUCGUCCGUUCAUCUCGAUGAAGUAGGAUUGAAAAAAAUAUCUGAACGAGGAACGCCUUCCAGAUUGUUACGUAAGAAUGAUACUUUUUCCUCUCACCAUCCGUUUCAUGUCGAACAUGCCUGUUCGCCGACUUACUGACGAGCUGUUUGCAGACACUAACUUUGCAGACAUCGGAUAUUUUGGCUCCGCGCGUUGAAAAGAAGAUUAGAAAAAAUUCUGUGCGAGCGAUUUCUUCGAAUCGUAGAUUCAAGAAGUUGGAGUCAAGCCAAGAGAGCAAUACCGAUGACGACUGUUGCGGAAUUUCUUAACAUUAAUAAUUAAUAAUGAUAAGUAAUUGAACUUUGAUUUGCAUGUAACCAUGAUCUCUCUAUGAUGACUUACAAUUAUUUUAACUUUCACGGUUAAAGUUUGUAUUAAAAAUACGUUAAAGAAACACAUUUGGAAGAUAUAUAUGAAGAACGUUAUACAAUUUAAUUAUGAAAUUUAAUAUGUACAAUUUAUAGAAUGCCUUCAAAACUAUUUUGGUUUAACAGAGAUAAUUUUUUAUCUUCUAUAUAAUGUACCUGAGAUCCAACUAUUAUAAAAAAUCUAGAAAAACAAGAAUUUAGCAACAAAUUACGAAACAGUUUUAAGACCGCUGUACAUAGAAUGACCCGCGAAAAAACAGCCAAAUAGUAGUGUUAUACAUGUUUGUAACAAAUAUAUUUUUUUUUUUAUUAAGAUUGAAUAUAACAAUUAUAUUAUUUAAUUAUUGUAUUCAUUAUUGCUGGAAAUUAAUUUAUAUUAAAUUCAAUAAUCAAUUACAUUAAUAAACAAACUAAUAGAGCCAGAGCUGGAUUUUUUUCAAUUCGUUGAAGACAUCAGUUUAUAAUAUCAUAAUUUCCAACAGAACUUGACAAUUUUAACUUCUAAAAACUUUUAAAUUUUGACUUCCUAAAAACAUCUGUGUCUCAAUAAGAGCUGAGGGCUGACGAAUAUGGAUUAUGUUAAUCUUUAUUUGUAACGGACGAACACUCGAGAAGAAACUUUAAUGCACACAAAGAAAUUACUCACAAAAGAAUUUCGGGAAUAUGAAAUGACAUCAUAUAGAAGACAGUUUCGUCCUUCCCUACAGUUUGAGUUAUGUUUUCGGCGUACAAAAACUAGACGUACUAAUGUUUAACAUUUGAAUGUGUUCUCACACAUUUGCAUUAUCAAAUUCUUAUUAAAUUAUCGCUCACUGAGGAAGGUCAAAAACAAUGGCCGAAACGUCUGUUGUAUUUUUAAUUUGAAUAAAUAACUGAGCACGUAAAAAAAAUCCAACUCUGGCUCUAUUAGCUUGUUUAUUAAUGUAAUUGAUUAUUGAAUAAUAGAAGAGCCCGUCAUAUAUUCUUAGUUUAAUUUUUUAUUUUAUAUUAAUAAUAUAUCGU